rnacentral:rRNA from 1 species
GAUUGAACGCUGGCGGUAGGCUUAACACAUGCAAGUCGUGCGAGAAAGUAUCUUCGGAUAUGAGUAGAGCGGCGGACGGGUGAGUAACGCGUAGGAAUCUACCUAGUAGAAGGGGAUAGCCCGGGGAAACUCGGAUUAAUACCGUAUACCUCCUUCGGGAGAAAGAAGGCCUCUCUUUGAAGCUUUCGCUAUUAGAUGAGCCUGCGUAAGAUUAGCUUGUUGGUGAGGUAAAGGCUCACCAAGGCGACGAUCUUUAGCGGGUCUGAGAGGACGAUCCGCCACAUUGGGACUGAGACACGGCCCAGACUCCUACGGGAGGCAGCAGUGGGGAAUAUUGGACAAUGGGCGCAAGCCUGAUCCAGCCAUACCGCGUGUGUGAAGAAGGCCCUAGGGUUGUAAAGCACUUUAAGUUGGGAAGAAAAGUUAUUGGUUAAUACCCAAUAACCGUGACAUUACCAUCAGAAUAAGGACCGGCUAAUUCCGUGCCAGCAGCCGCGGUAAUACGGAAGGUCCAAGCGUUAAUCGGAAUUACUGGGCGUAAAGCGCGCGUAGGUGGUUUAUUAAGUUGGAUGUGAAAUCCCCGGGCUCAACCUGGGAACUGCAUCCAAAACUGAUUCACUAGAGUACGAUAGAGGGAGGUAGAAUUCACAGUGUAGCGGUGGAAUGCGUAGAUAUUGUGAAGAAUACCAAUGGCGAAGGCAGCCUCCUGGAUCUGUACUGACACUGAGGUGCGAAAGCGUGGGUAGCGAACAGGAUUAGAUACCCUGGUAGUCCACGCCGUAAACGAUGUCAACUAGCUGUUGGAAAACUAUGUUUUUCAGUGGCGCAGCUAACGUAGUAAGUUGACCGCCUGGGGAGUACGGCCGCAAGGCUAAAACUCAAAUGAAUUGACGGGGACCCGCACAAGCGGUGGAGCAUGUGGUUUAAUUCGAUGCAACGCGAAAAACCUUACCUAUACUUGACAUACUUGGAAUGCUUUGUAAUGAAGCAGUGCCUUCGGGAGCCAAGAUACAGGUGCUGCAUGGCUGUCGUCAGCUCGUGUCGUGAGAUGUUCCGUUAAGUCGGAUAACGAGCGCAACCCUUACCCUUAUUUGCCAGCGAUUCGGUCGGGAACUAUAAGGGGACUGCCGGUGAUAAACCGGAGGAAGGUGAGGACGACGUCAAGUCAUCAUGGCCCUUACGUAUAGGGCUACACACGUGCUACAAUGGAGAAUACAGACGGACGCUAAGCCGCGAGGUGGUGCUAAUCCUAGAAAAUUCUUCGUAGUCCGGAUUGGAGUCUGCAACUCGACUCCAUGAAGUCGGAAUCGCUAGUAAUCGCGAAUCAGCAUGUCGCGGUGAAUACGUUCUCGGGUCUUGUACUCACCGC